UAUGUGAUCGUCUCUCGCAUAUCAAUAAGCGGAGGAAAAGAAACUAACAAGGAUUCCCCUAGUAACGGCGAGUGAAGCGGGAAGAGCUCAAAUUUGAAAUCUUAAAGGGUUUCCCUUUACGAAUUGUAGUUUAAAGAAGUGUUUUCUGUUGAGGUUUUGGUAAAAGUUCUUUGGAAUAGGACAUCAUAGAGGGUGAGAAUCCCGUAUUUGACCUUUACUUUCAACUUUGUGAUACACUUUCAAAGAGUCGGAUUGUUUGGGAAUGCAGUCCAAAAUGGGUGGUAAAUUUCAUCUAAAGCUAAAUAUUGGCGAGAGACCGAUAGCGAACAAGUACCGUGAGGGAAAGAUGAAAAGAACUUUGAAAAGAGAGUUAAACAGUACGUGAAAUUGUCAAAAGGGAAGCGUUUGACACCAGUGUUGUCUUUCUGAAAAUCAAUUAAAGAACUGUUUAUGCUAAGUUGUUUAGACUUUAUCAGCUAUCUGUUUAGUUUUGAGCUUUCUUUAAUGCACUUUUCAGUUAACAAGUCAACAUCAAUUUCUUUUGCUGUAAAAAAGCUUGAGGAAGGUGGCUUGAGAUUCGUCUUAAGUGUUUAUAGCCUCUUGCCUAUGCAGUCGGAGAGAUUGAGGUCUGCAGCGUAGAUCCUUCGGGGCUAAAUGCAUUUGUGCUAAGUUAUAGCAUUUUAUAGACAACUUGUUGACUAUGAUUUGUCUUGUAGCUUACUCGCUUAUGUUAUUUUACCUACGCUUAGGAUGUUGACUGAUAUGUAGUCGUA
rnacentral:rRNA from 1 species